rnacentral:tRNA from 1 species
CGGGACAUAGCUCAGCUUGGUAGAGCACUGCGUUCGGGACGCAGGGGUCGCAAGUUCAAAUCUUGUUGUCCCGAUCA